rnacentral:lncRNA from 1 species
GGGAAAGAAACAAAGACUUGGUCCCAUCAAAACCUAGUUGCAAGAACCGUUGUGUUGCACCAACGGUGCCUUUUCUACACAUAUAUCCAAUGGAGUUAGCAAAAAUUGUGUUGCAGCAAAGGUUUGCCAUCACGGGUUUUCUAUGACUUCUGGUCCAGCUUCAAUGUCUCCGCCAACGGAGUUCCGGCCGAGGAGGGUGUUAGCAAAACUUAUACAUUACUCAUGUUGUAACGACCGGCUGUUAGAUUUCACAGGCCUGCGUGCCUAUUUUGUAGGGCGUUGUGGAUAUCUCCAAUGUAUAUAACCUGUACCACGAUGACGCCGUCGCAGCACCGGCUAGCAACACGGUGGCGCCGUCGUAGCACCGUCUCGAAACAUGGUGGCGCCGUCGCAGCAAGGCGGCGCCCUCGCA